rnacentral:rRNA from 1 species
AGCCUGAACGCUGGCGGCGUGGCUAAGACAUGCAAGUCGAACGGAUGUAGCAAUACAUCAGUGGCGAACGGGUGAGUAAUGUAUCGCUAACGUACCCCGGACUCUGGGAUAGCUACUCGAAAGGGUAGGUAAUACCAGAUAAUAUGACGCGGUCGCAUGACCGUGUUCUCAAAGGUCCGCUGGUCUGGGAGCGGGCGAUAUCGUAUCAGCUAGUUGGUAGGGUAACGGCCUACCAAGGCGACGACGCGUAGCCGGACUGAGAGGUUGGCCGGCCACAUUGGGACUGAGACACUGCCCAGACUCCUACGGGGGGCUGCAGUAACGAAUCUUCCGCAAUGCACGAAAGUGUGACGGAGCGACGCCGCGUGUGGGACGAAGUUCUUCGGAAUGUAACCACUGUCAGGGGUUAGAAAGUUCUGAUCAACCCCAGAGGAAGGCACGGCUAACUCUGCCGCCAGCAGCCGC